rnacentral:lncRNA from 1 species
CCAUGUUGGCCAGGCUGGUCUUGAACUCCUGACCUCAAGUGAUUCUUGACUUGUUAUUUUGGACAACUUUGAAAGGGUCAGGUCAUCAGUGGAAAGACUGAAUGUUGUCAGAUUACUGUUUUCCCUUUCUUCAAAUCCAUUGUUACUUUGUUGUUGGAAUUCGGGAAGUUUCUUUUUGUCUGUUGGUAAGCAUUCUUACAGAGUGAAGAUGAAGAGAAAGCAAAUCAUUCUUAAGGUUAUAGAAUGUAAGAGAAUAAACUGUCAUUCUGUUCAAAGUGUAGUGUGUACAUUUUAACAGGUAAUAUUUUUAUUCUAUUAUCUCAAAAGGCUCUCAUUACAAGUGUCAUUGUUUCACAAAUUUGGUGAGUUAAUUUGGUUUUUGUUUGUUUGGUUUUGAUAAUACAGUAAGGAGACGUGCAUUUGUCUUUUUCCUGAACUAUCAGGAAAGAUAAAUGGUCUCCCUUUAGAUGCCUUGUCAGCAUUAAAGAAGUAAAAUAGUGGCUUUCCACUCUGUUAGGGGGUGGUAUAAUCUCUGCAGAAAAUUGAUAUUUCUCGUGCACUCUCAGAAAAUAUUGUCUGCAACUGAAGUUACAAAAAACCUCAGUCCAUUUAAAACAAGGCAGCAACGUAACCAGAAAUGGCACUUGAAAACAUGACCAAAUUUGACACAUUGCACCAUUAACGACACCGUCAGCCGCAUUGAAGUUCAUUUUGAUGAUAAGGCAUCAGUGACAUCUGCCCAUUUUAACUUGUUAGGCUAUUUCUUCCCACAGCAGCAGUACAUCUAAAUCACCUGUAAUUUUUAAAAAAAUAUAUAUAAUAUAAAUAAAUUCCUGGGCCUUCCUCUGAGAUUCUGAUUCAGAGGUGUUGGGUGAUGCCUGGGUGUAUGUAAUUUUGAAAACUCUAUAUGGGAUUCUGAUGUGCAGCCAAGGUUAUGAACCAGGGCUAUAACAAAAGUGAUAAUUGUUAAUGAAAAAGAGGCUUCUCCUUUGGCUAUGAAUAUAAGAUAAAGUUCAGCAUGCCAAAAGAGUCUUCUGGUUUUGUAGCAGAAUUUUCAUAACUGCUUAUUUCUAAUUGCCCUUGUGUAACUGGUGGUAGGGACCAGACUUAGAAGCUGAUUUUUAACCCAAACUAGCCAACCUUCAACAGACCGUAAUGAUAUAUAUCAUUUAUGUUAAAUGAUUAACUCAUACAUUUGAACAUCUGGAGAACCAGGGUAAAGAAUUGUGACAAUCCUACUAUUAAUUAAAAUAGGGUUUAGGCAAUUAGGUUCUUUCAAUUUAUGAUGACAAUUGUACAUUAUUUCUCACUCUUUAAAAUAUAUCAACAUCAAAAUGAAUGUAACAAAAUUCAUAUGUAACUAAUAAUUGAGUUGUAGCUCACAGGAUGACACAGUGCUGUGUUGGCAGAAAUUACAUAAUUUUUUAAAAUUUUAUUUUUUUCAUAUUUUUGAGUCAUUAUUUUUCCCCCAGAUCUCAGAUACAUGUAUAUUUUUUGGCCACUGUGAAAGGAGUGAUUGCUAGAUCCUAGGUCAAUAGGGUUUAAUGUUAAAAAGAUCCUGGGAGCAUUAAAACUACCUCUGGAAUUUGGUCCAAGAUAUUUGCUGAUAUCUUUCAAAACAACUUGAUUGCUCCCCUCUCAUUAUGAUGUGAAAUAUAAUAGAUUUCAAUGAAACCCUAAAUAGAGCAUAAAGGGAAUGUAAAGAGUUCUGAGAGCUGGAUGCUGUGGCACUUGAAGACACAAAAAACUUGAGAAAUAGCUUUAUUUUCAGCUCCUUGCAAUUAAAGUCAUGAGGCAUAUGCACAGGAUGGCUUGUCAGAGUUACCUGAAAUGGCAGAAUGCAAUAAUUAGAUCAGAGCAUCAUCCAGCACAAUAGCUGGGCUCCAAUUAUUAGACCAAACAGUAGCUGAUGUGCAUGUACAACAUGCACACACGCAUACACUGCUCUACACUGACCUGCUACUUUGGAUAUGCCAGCUCUGGAAAUCUGAAGGAACAUUUGUCUCACCUCAUCAAAUGUCAGUUACAUAAGUGCAGUUGUUUUAUUGUUCCAAGGAAUCCGACUUUCCUUUUGAGAAUCAUAAAAGCUGCCUCUGGUGCAGCUGGAUGGAUUUGAUGAACAUUUCACUGAAUAUUGUAUCAUUUUUUGUAUAUGCUCUUAAUUCUAAAAUAUUGGGCUAUGCACAUAAAAUGUGCUCUCAUUACAAUAACAAACAGAUCAGUUGAAAGGACACCUUUUGCCUAGAGCAUUUUUGCAGGUCUGAAUUUGAAGCUGGAUGAUGAAUUGAAGAAGAUACUUCAAAGGACAGAUAUAUGGCAUAUCAAGACAUGACACACACACACACACACACACACACAUUCAUGAAUGCAUAUCGUGAUGUUAUGUAGUGCUUACUACUCAAGGUGAUCAAAUGUUUUAUUAUUGUUCUCGCCACUGACCAGCUAUGUCUGUUCUGAAUCUGAUAUUCCCUCUGUCAUUCCCUUUAUUGGAUUCUGCCGAGUUAUCAAAUGUACCACAGCAGAUCUGCUAAAAGUAAAAAUGAGAAACUGUCUCUGAUGGUAUCAACAUAGAAGCAAUUUAUUUUCUUUAGCUGUAAUAAGGGAGGACAUAACUUUCUCUUGUUACCAGAGGCUGUGCUGUUGAAAACUUAUGGGUGAUUCUAUCAUCGUUCUUGAUAUGAUGAGACAGUGUUGUGAUCUGGCCAAAUGUGCAGACGCUGUAGCCACAUUGCCUUGGAUUGGGUUGCAACUCCACCCCUCACUGCUGAGCAAUCCUGGACAAGUAUAUAACUCCUUGUGCUUCAGACUCCUCGCCUGUAAAAUGAAGCUAAUCAUAGCACUUGCCUCAGAGAAUUGAUGUGAGGACACAAUAGGCCAAGAACUGCUAAGCACUUAGUGUGGUAUCUGGCACAAUCAGAGAAGGUUAACCAUUGCUAUUCUGUGAUUACUUAAAAUAUAUUUUUCAUGUCAAUUUAAACAAUAUUUUUGCCUUUAAUUUUCUUCUCCGUAAUUUUAGUUGGUGAAAAUAAAAUUUGAGCCCAUUAACUCAUUCCAUAUAUUAUGAAAAAUCAGCAUAAAGGUAAAAGUAUUAAUUUCUGACUGAGCUCAAAGAGCAGACAUUUAUGCCACUACGCAUGUGGGCAGGACACUGUAAUGAAUAACAAAAUACAUUAGCCAAAGAAAGACUAGGAUGAGUAAGGGAAUUUUCUUUCAUAUGAAACUCAUUUUUCAAAUAUCUAUCAAUUCAUUGAGUUAACAAGUUCAGCAAAAAGAGAAGUAAAGAAAAUAUAAAUGAACAAGCAGCUGUUAGAGUCAGUUAUGAACUGAGCAAAUGAAGACGAUUUCCUGAUAAUCUGCUGAGGUUUAGUUUUGAGUUUUGAGGAACAUAGUCAUCUUCAUCUGAAUAACUUUGAAUAUAACAUCAUUGACUUUCUGAUCUAUUAAAUUAAAACGCGUACACUGUAGAUAACAUGGAAAUGCAAAAAAUCAUAAAAAAUACAAUUUGCUUUAUAAUUUUGAGGUAUUUUGAUAUAAAAUUUAAUACCUACUCACAGUUUAGACUCCAUUUUAUAAAAUAAUGUCAUAUCCUAGUUUUACUUUUAUUCGAGUGUUGCAUUAGGGAAGUUUGCCAAAUAUUCUAUUGAAACAUGAUUUUUAACAGCUGAUUACUAUUCUAGUAUGUGUCUCAAUCAUGAUUAUUAUUGUCAUUCUCUUUUAUUGGGCAUUUAGAUUUUUAAAUUUUUGCAAUUGUAAAUACAGUGUCAGUGAGCAUUCUUUUAUGAAAAUCGCUUAUCUCAUCUAUCAUUGUUACCUUAAGGUGGAUUUCUAGAAAUGAAAUUGCUGCAGCAAAAGGACUGCAUAAUGUAAACACUCUUGAGACAGAUGACCAAUUUGUUUCCUGCAGUUUGUUCGCAUUUACACACUUCUAACAAUAUGGAGAUGUAUGUCUCACUGAAAUCAUGAUGACAACAGAGUUUUUUGCUUCUGUCUGCCAAUUUUUCCUUUGGGGCACUCAUCAUUUUGAUUACUUAAAUAUGCAUCUUAUGGUAGAAACUGGAACCACUGUCUUGAAUCAAAAGAUGGAAGAAGCUUCUCUUGAAGAUUAAAGGGACACAAGACAGAAGUUGUCUGUGUCCCUGAGGGCUUAGCAGAGGAGACUUGACCUACUUUCUUGGGCUUGUUGUGACAUCUAUUUUGUUUAAGAUGCCUCUCAAUUUUCAUCUUGUUUUGGAAAUGCUGCAAGGGCAAGAGGAUCCUUUUAAUUAUUCAUCAUUUAGAUGCGCUGAAAGAUGAGGUUAUUCUUCUGAAGACAAGAAGGCAACCCAAAGUAUUAAAUUUACAUUUGGUCAGAAAUGCCACACUCCAGAAGAAUGAACAUGCUUGGAAAAUUUUAAUUUUAUUCAUUUACUAACUUAGUGGGAGAGACAAAGACAAGAUAACAAGCAAAUUAAUAAUUGCAUCUUUGGUAACUUUUCUGAAGAAAAUAAACAUUAGACUCGGUCAGAGAAUAAUGGUGAAAAGGUUGCCCUGGAAAAAGUGAUAAGGAACAGCCUUUUUGGGAUGGUGAAUAUGAAGAGUAUGAAUUACAAUGUUCCUGAAAAGCCACUUUCCUGAGAAGAACUGCAACAGAUUUUCAUGAUAUCAAGAAGGCUUUAUGUUCCUGUAAGAAAGUUUGGCUGUAAGUUCCUAUCAAGAUUCUACAAGAACAUAUUGAUGCUCUGAAAGAUAACCCCAGAAGAGUAUGAGGAGACAUACACAGUCUACACAGAUGGGGUUUCACCGUGUCAGCCAGGAUGGUCCCGAUCUCCUGACCUCGUGAUCUGCCCGCCUCGGCCUCUCAAAGUGCUGGGAUUACAGGCGUGAGCCACCGCGCCUGGACGUAACAUUGCUUUCUUAAUGAUUCACAGAUUUUCUGUCCUCUCCUGAAAAAUAUGCAUUAUCCAUUAAUAUUGUUGCUGUUAUAUGCAAUAUGAGAGAUUUCUUCUGGACUUUGCCCAUAGGAAGGCUAGGAGUGCUGGUCAUCUUAAUUCGUAAAGUAUUUCAUGAAAGUGUAUGUGUGUGUACAUACAUGUCUCUGUGUGUAGGUUUGUGUAAACAUAAGGCUAUGAUAUUUUUUGUGGAAAGUUAGGAAGGCUGAAUUAACUUAAACUCCAUCUGAAACACAAACAGAGGCUCAGGAGUUUGAAAAGCUCCCUGUCAAUAAUCAGACAGAGCCAGGGCAAUGUAAAAUGGAUUGCCAGGGUUGGAAAGGGUGAACCCAUAAGUGACGCCAAUUGUUUCAUGGCAUCUAGAUACAAUCAGUAUUGAAAAACAUUAUCUUUGUGGGUAGCUAUUUGUCUCAUUUCUCCCAUUGUGCUGGAUCCUACAUAAAGAAAUUAUUUUGCCAAUGAUAAAGCCAGACACUAGUGAAAAUGGUAAGGACUCAUUUCAAUCAGUAAUAAUUAUUGCAAUAGAAAAAAAGGGUCCAUUGUGGACUGAACUCAACUUUGAUUUGUACAGAGGUACAGGAAAUUCUAAAGAGAGAACAAGGGAGUAAACAGGAAAGGAGGUGAGCAUGAGUUUGGUAGAGUCAAGGAUGUGAAAAAAUACAAAGGGUUAGUUAGUGUGACUGUGGUCAGGCCAGCUGUGCUUGCUAGCUGGAGAUUAUAGGAGAUAUUUAUCAUCCCAGAGAGACUGGGAGACAGAAGCUCUGUCCUCAGGUGUUGGAUGAAACAAAUAGAAAAAUUUUUGGCAGCCUUGAAUUUUCUCAAACAAGUGCUAUAAGGCGGCCUAGGGUCAUCUUAAGGAUGUGGCCUGGAGGUGUUAGAAAUGAUGUUAGUGUUUGUUGAAGUCUUUAUGGGCCAAAGUUAAAGCCUAGUGGAACAGGAGGCCCAGAGGAGCCUGGCUGGAGUUUGGUCAAAGAGAGAGUCUUUGUUAGUUCCACAGAGAUCAGUGUAAUCAAUUUUCCCAGCUAUUUUCAUGUUUACGAUCAGUGCUUGUUUGUUGAAAAGUUAAGUUAGCUAUCAGAGAGAAAGUAAAUUUGAAAAAUGUAAAACUGAGCUAAAAUGGAACUUCCAUCUGUGUUCUUACUCAAAAAUACAUCAUGCUUUGUAUAUCAGAAAUCCAUAAUUAAUCUUGAAGCUUAUACAAAUUUUUGUGUAAUAUGGUUGGGAAUAUUUCCUUGACUGCUACUAGUACAUGUAUAAGUUUGCUCUGAAUUUAGAAUGCCAUUUAUGCUUAAUGUAGGGAAGAUUAUGUCUCACUUUGCUCCAGAACCAAACAAGAUACAUUCAACUACAAAAUACAGAAUGUAAAUAUAUAGUCUAUUUCAAAAUCUUCAGAAUUUAUUCUGAUGUAUUAUUUAAUAUAAAUACCAGGUUGUUUUAAAAGUUUGACUUAAUAUACUUGACUUAUAGGGACAGUAACUUUUAGAAACUGAAUACAAUAUCUACAUCAUCGAAAAUCCUUAACCUUAUAAAUCUCUAAAAGUGCCUUUAGCUAUAAGUGAUUUAACUGAGAUCUAGAUAAAUCCCAAGUAACAGAAAGGAAAAUGUCUUUUAAGAGAAAAUCUAGAAUAUCAGAUAAGGAGCAAAAACACAAGACAUGUAUCGGUAUAAAAAUAUUUUCUCUUAGCAACAAUUUUUCAUACAGAUGGAAGAAUGUUCUUCCUGAAGCAGGACUCAGUGCUGGGGUACAGAAAAUUGUUCCUGAUGCUAUAAAUUUUUACUGCCAAGAGUUUUAAGAGCUAUAGAUAGUCAGAUUCUGUAAACUAAAGUCAUCUUCCAAAGUGCGAGGUUUCUAGUUGCAUCUUUACUGUAUUUACUCAGGUUGCCGCCAUAUAUAAAGGAGUGCAAGAGUCCAUAAAACUUACUCCCUCUGCUCUUGAAGGUGAACAGCACACUUUAGUAGCAAAAGAAAAUUGGUAGUGAAAGCAAAACAAGGAAAGAAAUCUCUCUGGGCCCUGCUUCUGUUUCUCAAAAGAUUGCCUGUUUUACUUCUCACCAUUGAUUUAUGUUGCCAAAACAAAGAGGUUUUCUCCAAAUUCUCCAAAUUAUUAUCUGAUAUUGAACUGAUUUUAUUAAGAAGAGUGAAGUGAUAGUUCAACUCUACUCAGACAGAAGACAUGUACUUCCAAGAAGACGGAGUUUGCAAAGAUCACAUUAGCACAUAUUCUGUCCAUAGAUUUUCUACUGUGAUUUAGUUGGAUAAGCUUAUGCUACACAUUAGUGUAAUAAGACUAAAAUUAUUGAUUUGUAUGAAAUGUAAAUUAAGUUUUAAAUCUUUAUCAUUGGAAAUGGGUGGUUUAUAUUUUUGUUUUUUUCUUAGUUCAGGACCACUUGAAUCCCCCCAGGAAUCCACUGCAAUUGUUAUAUUCCAUUGUCAGUGAGUGAGAAAGAAAAGAAGGAGGAUGGGUAAGAAAGGGCUUGGAGAGUCUGGGAGCCUAUGUGAGUCUGUGUGCAAAGCAUAUUAACUCUGACUCUGCCCAAAGCUUACAGAGAAGAUAUUCAGGUAUAUAAUAAUACUUUAUCUAGCUAUGGGAUAUAUGGGAGCCAGUAUGUUAUAGUGGUUAAGAAUACAAACUCUAGCAUCACAUAUGGGUUCAAAUCUUCCCUUCAGCUCUUACAAUCUAUGUGGGUUGGACAGGUUAACUAAUUUUCCUCCGCGUCAGUUUCCUUAGUUUAAAAUAAGCAUUUUAAUGGUCUCUAAUGUAGAGGCAAUAAUGCUGAUAGAAGCCUCUUAUAGUAAGCACAUGAUAGUAAUUUAUAUUCCCUUUCAAGUGUUGGAUACCGGAAUGCAGUUAUUCAGAAAUGAUCAUCAUUGAGUUGAUUCAUUAUUGUAAAUGAGUUCAGCUUCUCUCUGACCACCUGAUUUUGUUACCAGUCCAAAUUGAUUAUAAUCACCUUUGCAAUUGUGGCUUACUCAUUAUCUCUGAAAAUAAAAUUUGAGUCUGUGCAUUUAAAAGAAGGAAUGACACAAUUUUUAUUGAAUGAAGUUAAAUGAAAUUCAUCUCAUUUUUUUCUUUUCCUCAUUUCAGAAACUAAAUUGAGAUACUAAAAUGUGAGAUAAAAAACGUUUCUAUGUUUAAAUAUUGUUUACAUCAUGUCCUGGAAUAGAAUGAGAGUUAGAAAUAAAUACAUAUGCCUUUGUGGUGCAUAAAUAAAUGCAUAAUGCCUUAUGGUAUGCAUUAAAUGUUUCUUUAUUUAGAUGUCAAGUUAUACUGAUAUACCAUAGCUCUUUGAAAAUGAAUAAUUGGUCCUUAUAAAAGAGGAAAUUGGGAUACAGAGACAGGCCUACAGAGGAAAAAAACUGAAGACACAAGAAUUGAACAGCCUUGUGACUGGAGUGAUUCAUCUACAAACCAAAGAAUACUUGGUGCUACCAAAAGCUGGGAGAGGGGCCUGAAAAAGACCCUUACUGGGAUCUUUCACAGGAAAUGUGCCCUGCAGAUACCUUGAUUUUGGACAUCUAACCUUCAGAACUGUGAGACAAUAAAUUUUUGUGUUCUAAAUCACCCAGUUUAUGGGACUUUGUUAUAGCUGUCCUAUCAAACUAAUAUUGGACUUAAGAUCACGUUUAAACAAGAAUUGAGAAUUUUAGAUUCCUUUCCUACCACAAGCAGAAAGAACAAGAAUCUUUAGGAUUUUUCCCUGUUUCUCAUCAACAACCAGCUAGCACUAAAUGUGAAGUUGCCAUAAAGCAAAUUUGCUAUAUGUAGAUUUCAUGAGGGUUGUUUUCUCACACAGUUUGUUUUCACCUUCCCAAGUAUCUAGGACUUUAAAUUAAGAAGAAAAAAAAAUCUGUCCAGAAAUUCUUGGGAAUGUUGUAUGUGAUCAACAGAAUUUAUCAAUUGUAUUAGUUUUCUGUAACUGUUCCAACAAAUUACCAUAAACUUAGUGGAUGACAAUAAUACACAUUUAUUAUUUUACAGUUCUGAAAGUCAGAGGUCUAAA